GAUGAACGCUGGCGGCGUGCUUAACACAUGCAAGUCGAACGAAGCACUUUUAUUUGAUUUCUUCGGAAUGAAGAUUUUAGUGACUGAGUGGCGGACGGGUGAGUAACGCGUGGGUAACCUGCCUCAUACAGGGGGAUAACAGUUAGAAAUGACUGCUAAUACCGCAUAAGACCACAGCACCGCAUGGUGCAGGGGUAAAAACUCCGGUGGUAUGAGAUGGACCCGCGUCUGAUUAGGUAGUUGGUGGGGUAACGGCCUACCAAGCCGACGAUCAGUAGCCGACCUGAGAGGGUGACCGGCCACAUUGGGACUGAGACACGGCCCAAACUCCUACGGGAGGCAGCAGUGGGGAAUAUUGCACAAUGGGGGAAACCCUGAUGCAGCGACGCCGCGUGAGCGAUGAAGUAUUUCGGUAUGUAAAGCUCUAUCAGCAGGGAAGAAAAUGACGGUACCUGACUAAGAAGCAC
rnacentral:rRNA from 1 species